GACGAACCGUGCGAACGUUAUUCGGAAUCACUGGGCUUAAAGCGCGUGUAGGCGGGACGGCACGUCGGUCGCUGAAAUCCCCCGGCCCAACCGGGGAACGGGCGCCGAUACGACCGCCCUGGAGGGACGUAGGGGGACCUGGAACUUCCGGUGGAGCGGUGAAAUGCGUUGAGAUCGGAAGGAACGCCCGCGGCGAAAGCGAGGUCCUGGACGUCUUCUGACGCUGAGACGCGAAAGCCAGGGGAGCGAACGGG
rnacentral:rRNA from 1 species